UAGGGAAUAUUGCACAAUGGGGGAAACCCUGAUGCAGCGACGCCGCGUGAAGGAAGAAGUAUCUCGGUAUGUAAACUUCUAUCAGCAGGGAAGACAAUGACGGUACCUGACUAAGAAGCCCCGGCUAAAUACGUGCCAGCAGCCGCGGUAAUACGUAUGGAGCAAGCGUUAUCCGGAUUUACUGGGUGUAAAGGGAGCGCAGGCGGCGCGGCAAGUCAGAUGUGAAAGCCCGGGGCUCAACCCCGGGACUGCAUUUGAAACUGCCGUGCUGGAGUGUCGGAGAGGCAAGUGGAAUUCCUAGUGUAGCGGUGAAAUGCGUAGAUAUUAGGAGGAACACCAGUGGCGAAGGCGGCUUGCUGGACGAUAACUGACGCUGAGGCUCGAAAGCGUGGGGAGCAAACAGGAUUUAGAUACC
rnacentral:rRNA from 1 species